GACGAACGCUGGCGGCGUGCUUAACACAUGCAAGUCGAACGGAAAGGCCCUGCUUUUGUGGGGUGCUCGAGUGGCGAACGGGUGAGUAACACGUGAGUAACCUGCCCUUGACUUUGGGAUAACUUCAGGAAACUGGGGCUAAUACCGGAUAGGAGCUCCUGCUGCAUGGUGGGGGUUGGAAAGUUUCGGCGGUUGGGGAUGGACUCGCGGCUUAUCAGCUUGUUGGUGGGGUAGUGGCUUACCAAGGCUUGACGGGUAGCCGGCCUGAGAGGGUGACCGGCCACAUUUGGACUGAGAUACGGCCCAGACUCCUACGGGAGGCAGCAGUGGGGAAUAUUGCACAAUGGGCGGAAGCCUGAUGCAGCAACGCCGCGUGCGGGAUGACGGCCUUCGGGUUGUAAACCGCUUUCGCCUGUGACGAAGCGUGAGUGACGGUAAUGGGUAAAGAAGCACCGGCUAACUACGUG
rnacentral:rRNA from 1 species